rnacentral:lncRNA from 1 species
ACUCACAAACCCAAAAUCCUUUCCUUCACUGCCCUCAAAGAAACCUAACAAACGUACAAUCAAAACCCAAGAGUGAAUAUAGCAAAUGAAAGGGUCGAUGCAAUUAUAGAUGAAAUCAAUUGGACGAGGGAGAGGAAGAGAAGAAUACAGAGAGGGGGGAGAAGGCCCAUGGAUCUCCGGCCACAGCGACAUCUGAUGAGGGAUUUGUGUUGAGAGAGAGACAAAGCUCGACCUAGGGUUUCCGAUGGCAGGGUUCUGUCGCAAGUCAGGGUUAUUAGGAUUCGGGUCGAGUUGAUUCAGGUCGAGUUGGAGUGACUUUACGGCGACAGAAACUAACAUGGCGUUGUGGAGAUUUCUGGCGAGACGAUUAGGGUUCCGACGAGCCCUUUCAGUGCAAGACUGCCAUCUCUGUCAAAAAGAUCUGAACCGUUUAUGUGUGUUGGUGUGUUGCUGAUGAUGCCGGAAGCUAUAAAGUCGCUUGCUGUUUGCAAAUGCAUUGCUAGGUGCUAAGGCUCAACUAUUUUUAAGGUUGAGAUGUGUGAACUGGUUGAAUUAUGGUUUACAUCUGAUGAAAUACGUACAGUAAAAAAAUCUCUAAAUAUAUAUUAAUGUUUGUUGUAGAUUUGCGUUGUUGAUUUGAUUCAUGUUCGGUUCCUCUCACCGUGACAUUAGGAAAGAAAACCAUAAGACAGAAAUCCUACCUUCAUCGGCCGUUAGUGUGAAACCAUCCAUCAUCUCUCCGGCCACCUUUCCGAUUCCGAUGGCUCUGCAUAUCGCCAAACGCCUCCUCCACACCCGAUCUGAUUCGCGCCACUCUCUUUCCCUGCGACGGCAUCGGUCCCGAGAUCGCUGAAUCCGUCAAACAGGUUUUUUAUUGUGUUAUACUGUUGUUAUGUAUGUUAUGUUUGUGGUGCUCGGUGGUUGAAGCACACAUCGCGAUGCAGACGGUCGGGACAUGAUCUGUUUGUGCCCUAGAAGUUUAUCAUGUAAGUUAGAUUCGAUUCGUUCAAGUUUUAGUUUCAUACUGUCAUGUAGAUCAAGUUGGUUGUGACUUAUUGAUGUUUAUAUGUUCAAAUCUAUCAUUAUCUAGGGUUUCACAGUUCGAUUUUUAUGUAUUUAAAUAACAGUCAAAUACAACAACCGUGUUUAUGGAUCUAGCAUCUAUUAAAUUUAUAUGAUACGUAAAAAUAUGGUUUGGACCUUGGGGGUUCAAUUUGGUUGGCCUGUGUAGAUAAGACACUUGUUCUACUAUUAGAUCCUCUGCUACUGCUGCACCCUCUAUCUUUCCCGCGUCUGAACGAACGAACAGAUCACUUUGUUCGCCAACUGUCUCUUUUCGUUUACAUCCAUCAUGAGGUGAUUCCAUUCCAUUACAUAUUAUUAGUUAUACUUGCUUCUAAGAUAUCACUAAAUUUGCAGCUAUUUCAAAUCUCACUGAAUGAUGCUACUAAAUUACUAAUCGUUUUUUAUUUGUAUUCUUGUUUUUGCAAUCGACCAAUGGAGGAAGAUGCACCAACGAAGAAUGACGAAGAGGAGUUCAACACUGGGCCUCUCUCUGUCUUACCGAUGGAAGGAGGGGUGUCACAUCUUCUGUUGGUUGACUCAUCUAUGCGUGGCAACACCUCUCACACCAUCUGAAUGUAGGAAAACGCUGUCAAAAUCCAGAUUGGAUGUGAGAAAUGGUUAUGAAUGGGAUAUUGGUCAUUUUCAUGGAGCUCAAAGACCAAACGUGUUUGAUAUACAGGAUUUUAUGGCCUUACUAGCUUAUGAGGAACCAAAACACUUACUUUGGAGUAUUGGCAAAUAGAGUGUAGAUCCAUAAACAGUAACUGUAUUUUUAUUUAUUUAUCGUUUAUUAGUAUAAAUUCUUUAAAAAAAAUUUGUUCUCUUUUUAUUACAUUCAA